UUAAAAUUAAAACUCCGAGUCCAAUAACCUGUAGACACUGUUAUAAAUUCUUGUAACAUUGUUAUGGUUUUUGGACCGACAGGGUAUGUUGGGAAACCGGCAUGCCUCCCGUUGCGGAAAGGAGAUGAUAGACGACAGGU
rnacentral:ncRNA from 2 species